UUUCUCUUUCUCUUUAAAACUCAUCUCCUGCCUCGAUCUUUCUUCUCCUUCCCAACUCGAAUUGAAACUCGAUAAUUUCUUCUUCUCAUACAAACAACAAUUUCAAUUCUUCUCACCCAAACAACAAUUCAAUCACUGCCUCUCCUUCUUUUUUUUUUUCUUUUGAAAUUUCCAUCACUGCCUCUGCAACCAAGAACUCAUCCGCGCGUUGCUGCUGUUGUGUGUUUUCAAUCGUCGCUCCAAUCACGGUAAAUCUCUUUUCUGCCUCUCCUCUUUUGUCUAUUCUAUUUUUUUUUUCUUGAGAUGUUGUUUGUGUGAGAUGGAUAAUGGUAAUUUAACGCAAAAUUUCUAUUGAAUUUUGUAUCUUGAAUUGUUGUUUGUGUGAGAUUGAUGGGGUAAUGAAAAAUUUCUAUUUAAACUUUCUUAAAAUUACAAAAAUUCAGAUUUAAUGAUUAAUUUCGUUUAUAGUUGAGAUUGGUAUGAAGUUAAUGUGUAAAAUUUAGGUUUUUUUUGAAAAUCGAUGCUUCUAAUUAAGAUUGAUUAUGGAAAAAUAGUAAUUUCGUUUGUAGGUCUGGUUUUUGUCAAGUUGGUGUUAAAAUUUUCACAUCUUCUUCUUCCCCAUUGCUAUAAACAAUGAAGUAUUUCUCCUGGAUCUCUAUGAUCAUUAUCAUAAACCGCUAGAAGUAUAGUUUACUAACCUGUAAAAAUUUGGUACACGAUCAUGAACUUAGAGUUUAAGGUCACCAGCCAUUUCUGUCUGACCAGGUUGGCCUGGUACAACAAACACCAUGAUUUCUUUCUUUGGUGCACACUUAACCAAAAUUCUUCCAGCUGCAAAAGAGAAACAAAUCAAACAAUAUAGUUUCACAAGGACACACUAUGAGUACCAUAAUAAUUGCCCAUUUGCUACAGUAACUGUUCCCUGAGUUGUUGCUACUGACCUGAGAUACCUAAUCAUUCAACUGCCUGCCAUUAGUGUUCCCCAUCAGCCAAAGUUGUAAUGCCCGAGUAGCAUUAAAAAUCAUGAGAAGCAUCGAUUUUCAAAAAAAAACCACAAGGUACUCUUCCAGUUAGGUAUCUGGACUUGCCUAUCAUCACUACCAGACUCAAAGCACAAGAUUGUCUACCACUUAUAGAGAAAGUCUCAAACAUGAUACAAAGCUGGAGAGGGAAGUCACUUACGUAUGCUGGCAAGCUGCAGCUAUUUGGGGCUGUCUUGAACAAUCUCAGUGUGUUCUGGACAGCUUCUUUUAUGUUACCAAGUGCCACCAUUCUUGAGAUCAAUAAGUUGUAGGAACUUUCUAUGGAAAAGGCUUGAUUGUAAUUUUUUAUUGUAAUGACUAGGAUCGCUGCAAUAAUGAAGCAUUUCUGCAUAUUUCUCUUCUUUCUAUGUUGUUGUAUAUAGUCCGUGUAACAGCUCUCUCUAGAGCAGCCUGCAGCCUGCAAACUUUUAUAUUUUUACAAGCAGGGUCUUAUUGGUUAUAAGUCUCUUAACUCAAAAUUAUGAAAAAUAUGCAAUAUGAAUCUUAUUUCCAAAGUUCUAAAUGAAUGAUGGAUUUCCAAAGUCCAAACAAAGUAUUGAACCUAUAUCACUAAUUCAUAACCAAAGGACAUGAGACUAAGCCAAAUAGUGCCAUUUACAUUUCUGCAUUAUUUAUAACUGAUCUCUCCUUUUCUCUAUAUAUCCUUUUUCUUUUCUUUUUUUGCUCGAGGAAAUUUCCAUACCAAUGGUUGAAUGUGGAUGGCUAUUUAUACAUGGAUAGCCAAAGUUGUAAUGCCUGAGUAGCUUUGAUUGUUUUCUUUUACUGUAUAUACAAAGCACAUACAAUGGUGCUUAAUUUGGCGAGUCUGCAGGUCAAUUUUCUUAUUUUUUGUUAUUUUCCUGAUACAAUAUAGGCCCAUCACUAAUCAAUAUAAUUUCUUGUCGAUGUCGUGUUCAAGUCUGUUGGUUUUGCUCUUUUAACUAUUUAAGUGCUCAAUUUGUAUACCAUACUUGAUUGCUAAGGUCAUUACAUCAAUUCUUAUCUGGUAUGCAUAUAUGGUUCAAUUUUGAUUAUUUUGAUUUGCAAGGGAAACACAAUUUCGUCCUUUGGAUUGUUCUCAUUCCUUUGAGACAAGUGCAUCUGAAGCUGAUUUUUUCUUUCCAAGGUAUUUUUAUGGACACUUGUGAACUUAUGAAUGUUUAAUAUUGUGCAGAGAGAAGGAUACUUGCUAGGAUUUUGUUAGCUUGAUUAAAGGUACAUUUUUAAUACCAUUACUCUCUGAUGUAUCACAACUUAAAUGCAAUUUUAUGUAGUACAUAGUAAAUAAAGAAAAAGUUGUUUGUUUUGCUAUUCUUGAAUCGUGAGUCUCAAUUCAGUGUUAUCAUUGAUAAUCCCAAAGUCAUCCUUUUGGAUAAAACUCGGAAGGAAGUUGCUGAAGGGUAUGUAGUGACUAAUGAAACAGCUGGAACUUGUCAUGGUAGAACAAUCUUUCCUGGUGAAAAAAAGGUUUGGGUGCAGAAAGUCUUGGAUGGAAAUGCUUCGAUAUAUGAUGGCCCACAAGAUGGAAUGGAGACUCUGCAUGAAAUAAUUGAUGGGGGAUAUUUAGUUUGGCUUGAUGCUCGGUUAAAGUAUUAAUUAUUUAUGUUUAGGGAUGGAAGACAAGAAAACUAGUGAAUUUAAAUUUGAAGUAUGACCAAGAUUUUGCUUUUGACUAUAUUACCAUUUGCUUAAUGUACUGUAUCUUUUCUUAUCAAGGAUAGUUACUUUUUUUAUAUUGUGUCGUGCUGAUGAAUGGUUGCUUUUACUGUUUUAAAUUAAUUGUACAGAUGGAUGAAAUACAUGUUGACUUGUAGGUUUCCGUGUUAUGGCAGUAAUUAUUAUUAGGAUCAGAUAAUGUUAAGUAAGUGAUUUUCCUUUUCACAUAGUUGGCUAUUAGCUUUGAAGUGUAAAAUCCCGUUUUUAACUCCGCCAAUGCAAGUGCAUUGCCGGUCCCAAGACCGGAUAAAGGAGGAGGGGAGAUGGGUGAGCCUUCGAACAAAUUGCAUUUUUUAUAUUUUGAAUGUAAUUAACAUUCUGAACAAAUUGCACUAGUUCAAUGUCGUUAUUGUCGUUCGUUUUCAUUGGAUCUUUUACUUGUGAGUGAAUAACAUUUUGGUUAUUAGGUGUCUUGAAGGAACGCCUUGGAAUAUUACGGAUGCUUCAACCUGGCCAUCUUUGUGCACAAUAUAUAUAUAUCUAUAUAUCUACAUGUGACAGACCUAUCUUGCCUUCUGACCGUGGAAGAUAUAAUUGUGUGCGCAUAUCUGCGCUUUUACACACCUAUCUUGCCUUCUGACCGUUAAUAUAUCUGUUGCAUACUAAAAUGUGAUCUUUAUUUCUUAGGGAAGAAAAAACAUCAGG
rnacentral:lncRNA from 1 species